CCGAAAGAUGGUGAACUAUGC
rnacentral:ncRNA from 3 species